GACGAACGCUGGCGGCGUGCCUAAUACAUGCAAGUCGAGCGAACCAAUAAGAAGCUUGCUUUUUGUUGGUUAGCGGCGGACGGGUGAGUAACACGUGGGUAACCUGCCUGUAAGACCGGGAUAACUCCGGGAAACCGGUGCUAAUACCGGAUAGAUUAUCUUUCCGCAUGGAGAGAUAAGGAAAGAUGGCUAUUGCCAUCACUUACAGAUGGGCCCGCGGCGCAUUAGCUAGUUGGUGAGGUAACGGCUCACCAAGGCGACGAUGCGUAGCCGACCUGAGAGGGUGAUCGGCCACACUGGGACUGAGACACGGCCCAGACUCCUACGGGAGGCAGCAGUAGGGAAUCUUCCGCAAUGGACGAAAGUCUGACGGAGCAACGCCGCGUGAGCGAAGAAGGUCUUCGGAUCGUAAAGCUCUGUUGUUAGGGAAGAACAAUUAUCGGAGGAAAUGCCGGUACCUUGACGGUACCUGACGAGAAAGCCACGGCUAACUACGUG
rnacentral:rRNA from 1 species